GAAGCAAAGCCGCGAGGUAGAGCAAAUCUCAAAAAAACAUCUCAGUUCAGACUGCAGGCUGCAACUCGCCUGCACGAAGUCGGAAUUGCUAGUAAUCGUAGGUCAGCAUACUACGGUGAAUACGUUCCCGGGCCUUGUACACACCGCCCGUCAAACCAUGAGAGUUGGCAACACCCGAAGUCGGUAGUCUAACCGCAAGGAGGACGCCGCCGAAGGUGGGGUUGAUGAUUAGGGUUAAGUCGUAACAAGGUAUC
rnacentral:rRNA from 1 species